AGAGGGUGCAAGCGUUAAUCGGAAUUACUGGGCGUAAAGCGCACGUAGGUGGAUAAGCAGGUUGGAUGUGAAAGCCCUGGGGCUUAACCUGGGAAUGCCAUUCAAAACCAUUUGUCUAGAGUACAGUAGAGGAAAGUGGAAUUUCCGGUGUAGCGGUGAAAUGCGUAGAUAUCGGAAGGAACACCAGUGGCGAAGGCGACUUUCUGGACUGAUACUGACACUGAGGUGCGAAAGCGAGGGGAGCAAACAGGAUUAGAUACCCUGGUAGUCCACGCCGUAAACGAUGAGAACUAGCCGUUGGAGAUCUUGAAUCUUUUGUGGCGCAGCUAACGCGAUAAGUUCUCCGCCUGGGGAGUACGGCCGCAAGGUUA
rnacentral:rRNA from 1 species